GUGUUGUAUGAAAGGAGAGAAGGUUAGCACUCCCCUUGAUAAGGAUGGAAGAGGCCCUUGUGGUCUUUGCAACACGCAUAUGGUUAAGGCGCUGCCACUUACGUCGUGGCAUCUAACCAGUUUUUUGG
ensembl:snRNA